GGCCUGGUAGCCAAGUGGUAAGGCAAGGGACUGCAAAUCCCUUAUACGAGGGUUCAAUU
rnacentral:tRNA from 1 species